rnacentral:rRNA from 1 species
AGUGAACGCUGGCGGUAUGCCUAACACAUGCAAGUCGAACGGCAGCACAGUAAGAGCUUGCUCUUACGGGUGGCGAGUGGCGGACGGGUGAGGAAUACAUCGGCAUCUACUUUUUCGUGGGGGAUAACGUAGGGAAACUUACGCUAAUACCGCAUACGACCUACGGGUGAAAGCAGGGGAUCUUCGGACCUUGCGCGAUUGAAUGAGCCGAUGCCGGAUUAGCUAGUUGGCUGGGUAAAGGCCCACCAAGGCGACGAUCCGUAGCUGGUCUGAGAGGAUGAUCAGCCACACUGGAACUGAGACACGGUCCAGACUCCUACGGGAGGCAGCAGUAGGGAAUAUUCGACAAUGGGCGAAAGCCUGACCCAGCCAUACCGCGUGAGUGAAGAAGGUCUUCGGAUUGUAAAGCUCUUUUAUUAGGAAAGAAAAUAUGCAGAUUAAUCCCCCGCUGUCCUGACGGUACCCAAACAGAAAGCACCGGCUAACUUCGUG